rnacentral:misc_RNA from 1 species
UCUCCGUUGGUGGACCAGCGGAGGGAUCAUUACAGGACUCGCAAGACUCCUACAGCCCUGUGAACUUAACUAUAAGCACGUUGCUUCGGCGGGUGUCUCGGAGGGGGUUCUCCCUCCCCGAGACGCUAAACCCGCCGGCAGCCUACUAUACUCUGUCUCUUUGCGUUGGCAUCUCGAGUACAAUCAAACAAGUUAAAACUUUCAACAACGGAUCUCUUGGUUCUG